rnacentral:rRNA from 1 species
GACGAACGCUGGCGGCGUGCUUAACACAUGCAAGUCGAACGGAAAGGCCCUGCUUUUGUGGGGUGCUCGAGUGGCGAACGGGUGAGUAACACGUGAGUAACCUGCCCUUGACUUUGGGAUAACUUCAGGAAACUGGGGCUAAUAUCGGAUAGGAGCUCCUGCUGCAUGGUGGGGGUUGGAAAGUUUCGGCGGUUGGGGAUGGACUCGCGGCUUAUCAGCUUGUUUGUGGGGUAGUGGCUUACCAAGGCUUUGACGGGUAGCCGGCCUGGGAGGGUGACCGGCCACAUUGGGACUGAGAUACGGCCCAGACUCCUACGGGAGGCAGCAGUGGGGAAUAUUGCACAAUGGGCGGAAGCCUGAUGCAGCAACGCCGCGUGCGUGAUGACGGCCUUCGGGUUAUAAACCGCUUUCGCCUGUGACGAAGCGUGAGUGACGGUAAUGGGUAAAGAAGCACCGGCUAACUACGUG